rnacentral:rRNA from 1 species
GUAGGUGGCAAGCGUUGUCCGGAAUUAUUGGGCGUAAAGCGCGCGCAGGCGGUUCUUUAAGUCUGAUGUGAAAGCCCACGGCUCAACCGUGGAGGGUCAUUGGAAACUGGAGAACUUGAGUACAGAAGAGGAAAGCGGAAUUCCACGUGUAGCGGUGAAAUGCGUAGAGAUGUGGAGGAACACCAGUGGCGAAGGCGGCUUUCUGGUCUGUAACUGACGCUAAGGCGCGAAAGCGUGGGGAGCAAACAGGGAUUAGAUACCCUGGCAGUCCACGCCGUAAACGAUGAGUGCUAAGUGUUAGGGGGGUUUCCGCCCCCUUAGUGCUGCAGCUAACGCAUUAAGCACUCCGCCUGGGGAGUACGGCCGCAAGGCUG